AAUGAACGCUGGCGGCGUGCUUAACACAUGCAAGUCGAACGAGAAAGCCCCUUUCGGGGGGUGAGUAGAGUGGCGCACGGGUGAGUAACACGUGGAUAAUCUACCCUUGAGAUUGGGAUAACGUUCCGAAAGGGACGCUAAUACCGGAUGACAUUUUAUUCUCUGCGGGAGAUGAAAUCAAAGAGUGCCUCUGUUUCAUGCACUUGUUUGGGGAUGAGUCUGCGUCCCAUUAGCUAGUUGGUGGGGUAAGAGCCUACCAAGGCGAUGAUGGGUAGCUGGUCUGAGAGGAUGAUCAGCCACACUGGGACUGGAAUACGGCCCAGACUCCUACGGGAGGCAGCAGUGAGGAAUUUUGCGCAAUGGGGGUAACCCUGACGCAGCAACGCCGCGUGAGUGAAGAAGGCCCUUGGGUCGUAAAGCUCUGUCAGUGGGGAAGAAAUUGUAGUUGUCGAAUAGGCGUCUAUAUUGACGGUACCCACAAAGGAAGCACCGGCUAACUCCGUGCCAGCAGCCGCGGUAAUACGGAGGGUGCAAGCGUUAUUCGGAAUUAUUGGGCGUAAAGGGCGCGUAGGCGGUUUGUUAAGUUGUGUGUGAAAUUUUGGGGCUUAACCCCAAAGCUGCAUAUGAUACUGGCAGACUUGAGUAUGGCAGAGGAAAGCGGAAUUCCUGGUGUAGCGGUGAAAUGCGUAGAUAUCAGGAGGAACACCGGUGGCGAAGGCGGCUUUCUGGACCAAUACUGACGCUGAUGUGCGAAGGCGUGGGUAGCAAAC
rnacentral:rRNA from 1 species